rnacentral:rRNA from 1 species
ACCCAGACUCCUACGGGAGGCAGCAGCGGGGAAUAUUGCACAAUGGGGGAAACCCUGAUGCAGCGACGCCGCGUGAGCGAUGAAGUAUUUCGGUAUGUAAAGCUCUCUCAGCAGGGAAGAAGAUGACGGUACCUGACUAAGAAGCCCCGGCUAACUACGUGCCAGCAGCCGCGGUAAUACGUAGGGGGCAAGCGUUAUCCGGAUUUACUGGGUGUAAAGGGAGCGUAGACGGCGGCGCAAGCCAGAUGUGAAAGCCCGGGGCUCAACUCCGGGACUGCAUUUGGAACUGUGUGGCUGGAGUGUCGGAGAGGCAGGCGGAAUUCCUAGUGUAGCGGUGAAAUGCGUAGAUAUCAGGAAGAACACCGGUGGCGCAGGCGGCUUGCUGGACGGCAACUGACGCUGAGGCUCGAAAGCGUGGGGAGCAAACAGGAUUAGAUACCCCAGUA